rnacentral:rRNA from 1 species
UACAGAGGUCUCAAGCGUUGUUCGGAUUCAUUGGGCGUAAAGGGUGCGUAGGUGGCAUGGUCAGUCGGAUGUGAAAUCCCGGGGCUCAACCCCGGAACUGCAUUCGAUACUGCCGUGCUGGAGUACUGGAGAGGAGAUUGGAAUUCACGGUGUAGCAGUGAAAUGCGUAGAUAUCGUAAGGAAGACCAGUGGCGAAGGCGGAUCUCUGGACAGUUACUGACACUGAGGCACGAAGGCCAGGGGAGCAAACGGG